CCUACGGGCUGCAGCAGUGGGGAAUAUUGGACAAUGGGCGAAAGCCUGAUCCAGCCAUGCCGCGUGUGUGAAGAAGGCCUUCGGGUUGUAAAGCACUUUCAGUGGGGAAGAAAGCCUUGGGGCUAAUACCCUCGAGGAAGGACAUCACCCACAGAAGAAGCACCGGCUAACUCCGUGCCAGCAGCCGCGGUAAUACGGAGGGUGCGAGCGUUAAUCGGAAUUACUGGGCGUAAAGCGCGCGUAGGCGGUCUGAUAAGCCGGUUGUGAAAGCCCCAGGCUCAACCUGGGAACGGCAUCCGGAACUGUCAGGCUAGAGUGCAGGAGAGGAAGGUAGAAUUCCCGGUGUAGCGGUGAAAUGCGUAGAGAUCGGGAGGAAUACCAGUGGCGAAGGCGGCCUUCUGGACUGACACUGACGCUGAGGUGCGAAAGCGUGGGUAGCAAACAGGAUUAGAUACCCUAGUAGUC
rnacentral:rRNA from 1 species